GCCCGCCUCUAUUCCGGUUGAUCGUUAUUCAGAAUACGUGUAUUGGUGUGUCUCGCUGCACAACCACUGCUGGUCCAAGUAAACAUUCCCCCACAAUACGCGGUCAUGUGAUGAGCACUGUCCUAGAUUCACCCGGCUACAGGGACGACCUACCCACGUCAACAGCUGGAGACUGAAGCUGCUCGAAGUGCAACAGAGGCAGCUGGUCGGGACAUAAAAGAUCUUAGCGUCAUGUAAAACAUGUCAGUGUGUUCCUUGUGCUGUUGAGGAUGUGCUGUGGAUGGGCCAUACUAUCGGGGCUGUUGGCCGCCAUGUUUAUCACGGCAGGUGCCAUGAAACUGCUCCCAUUCCCAGCAAGUCUACACAGCGGAAUGAUAGCUGAAUUCACAUACUACGCAACAAUGUUCCCGGGAAAUUACAUUGGUUGCCCAAUCAACGCACUGACCUACAUGUAUGUUGCCGGGGUGGUGGAUUUCAGCCUCGGUUUGGGCUUGAUGUUUGGAACACGAAAGGUGAAGGUCGUCUGUACAGUCGGCGUGAUGGCUGACAUGGCCUUGUUCCUAGCGACAGAAGUAAGCCUUGGAAUGUACGAGAAAAGUCUGGUACCCAUGGCAACACUAAUCAUGUCCUUUUGUCUGUAUAGACAUUUGACAGAUAAAAUUAAAACAAUAUAAGAAUAUA